ensembl:lncRNA
CUCAUUGAUGACUAAUUACUAUGAGAAGUCUAAUUACUAUGAUAGGCACUGUCUGUGGGUUUUAUCAGAGGCCACUCCAAGGAAAGGCAAGUGUACGGACCCAAGAUGGCUGUCUUUUUUUUACAGUCAUAAGCUGUAUGUGCCACUCACAAGAGCAAAGGUGGGACUAAAGGCUGGCAAUUAAGUUACUGCAAACAUAGAUGUUUAAAUGAAAGUGAAGCCUAAGGAGCUUCACUUCACUAAAGGAGCUUCCUUCACUAAAGGAGCCCUGCUCCUUUAGAAAACUGGGCAUCGAGGUUAGUUUUGAAGACAGGUGAGAAAAGAUGGUAUGUGUAUGGGGACUGUUAGGUCAGGGCCUGAACGAGUGAUUAAGCACCUGGUGAAAGGACUUUGCCAGCCCUGGGUGCACAGGUGCAAGCAAUUUACCCUGGGUCCACCUCUCCCAAACCUCAGUGAAGGGCCGGCAGCUGCAGGGGAAGCAGCACUACUUGGAGAUCAGCUUUUGGGGGGAUUUUCAGGGAGUUCUGAUCUUCAGAAAGAGUUGUCGACUACUGUGCUCACACUGGUUCAGAUGCUGUGCUUCUCCUGUGAGAAACCUGUGCAAGUUUCCAGAGUGUAAGAGAUUACUGCUGCUCAGGGAGCAACAUCACAGACGCAGUAGAGAUAAGUGGAUUUGUGCCUUAAUGAUUCCCUUUACUCCAUACUCUUCUCCUUUAAGCAAAUGAAAUCUGUAUAAGAAAUGACUCUAUGUAAAGUUAAAGUGGGGGAAGAAAGGGUUGAAAUAAUAUUCAGAAAGCCAUUCUAAGCUAGGUGCGAGCCUGGAAGUGAUGUCACUAAAUAAUAUGUAAAUUCUCUGAAUUUUUACAUCCUUUCCAAAAGAACUCUUCUCCCCAGAAAAUUCCCUUCAUUGCUUGCUUUAGUUAGGUUUACAGUGAAUGUUUGUGUCAUAAGUCAUACUCUGUUGACCAAAGGAACGGUUGCUAUUGACUGCAGUCAGAAGAGAUUGAAACUUUGGUUCCUUUUGAAAGAAAAGGAAUUGUUACUGUGCAGCAAAGCUGAUCAGCUGGGUGAAAGGGACAUUUUCUACAACUGACAGGAGGCAACCAGAGGUGAAUGUCAGGGAGCCUGAAUCUGGGGAGCAGGGCAGCCACCAAGUCUUGACAUCUCAGCAUCUGCUCCUAUUUGGUAGACUCCUGUAUUUACUGCUGCAGCACUGACUUUGCUUGUUAGGACUACAACUGCUGGUUCAGGGGUCUGCAACACCAGCAUGUUGGAAGAGGUAGGACUGUUUACAGACUUAGUAUUAGGUGUACAUUUAAACAAUUCACUAAUUCAAGCUUCUCAUCCCAGUUUUCUUCCUGAGAAAAAAUACUACUUUUGUCUAUAGCAUGCAAUCAGAUCUGCAUUUAAUCUCACAUUGGCUGAUGUGUACUACCCCCCAGCAUGUAAAGGAAAUGCUUACAUACAAAUAACUACCUUUAUUUUAGGGAUGUGACUUGCUUCACUAAUUCCCCAGGAUAUUUAUUUAUAAAAAAUUACUUUCAGAGCCUUUUAGUGCAUUGACCUUGUUUCAGGGUUUAGAUGGGAAGAGGGAGGGCUGGAGUUUUUUCUUAAACGCUGCAGGGGAUUUCUGUCAGGUUGCUUUAACACUUCGUCUCAGAUUCUUGCCAGGCUUUUGGGCUAAAGAAUUUUCAAAUGCAGCUAGCCGUCAUCACAUAGCUCUUGCGUUUGUACAGCAGUAUCUGCAGAAGCCUAUCAAAUAUGGGCUAAUGCUGAGAUGUCAAGGCCUUGGUGGCUGCUCUUUGUUUUAUAAAUAUAAAAUUGAUUUGGCUUUCAUGCGAUGAGAAAGCAAGAGGACUUAAGAAUAGAGGCACCAGAUAAGCAUCAUAAAUGCGUACAUCACUUUUAGUGUAUCAGGUGUGGAUGUUGUAGUGACCACUCUAUGGACUGAGUCUGUGCAUUAUAGCAGUUUCCUAUGCAAAGAUGCGGAAUGUUGUUAUUCCCCUAAAGAGCAGGAGAGCAGAGAAAGGGAUGUGCUGUGCUGCUGAAUUUUCCUUUCAAAAACCUAAGGGUUUCAUAGCAAUAGGUCACCACAUUUAGAAUCACUAAAACACUCAUGCUGUAAAAACACAGAACUCGUAGUCUUCUUUACCCCACUGAGGGUUAGCACUGCAAGGGCUGUUAACGAUUCCUUUAGCUUUCUCUUACUGAGUGUUUUCACAUAUAUAUCUACGGAAAAUGAAACAUGAUAUAACAUGCAUGGAAAAUAGAAGCAUGUACUACCCAAACCUCAUUCUCCAACUAAAGUAUCUAUUGUUUAAUAACAGAAGGUACGUAGGGAUUUUUUGGGUGGAUUACUGAGUUGAAGUGUAUUUCGUGCCCCCAAAAUAACAGCUUACAUGCAGACCAUAGGUGUCCAACCUUUUGGCUUAUCUACGCCUUACUGAGCCCAAGAGGAAUCAUCUUGGGCUGCAUAUAAAAUAAAAUAUGUAACAAAAAUUAUUUUUAUUAUUUUUUUUAGUAAAACAUUUUAAAAGGGAAACAAACACACAAGACUAGUGGGUUGGACACAUGAUCUAGGCCAUGAGAAGGUCCCACAUAUCUCUGGGCAGCAACUUUGGAUUAAAGGAACUCUAUUGAAAUGGCAAAUUCCUACUAUUUCUCACAGUAGAGCAGGUAGAACUGUUAUUCUCUCCUGUUACUUCCUGAUGUUUGAACUCAGUCCCUCAUUCCUCUACCAUUGCUUCUCGGUGUCACCCAGGGCUAUACAUAUGGCAACUGCACACACAGUCCUACUUGCAGAUGGGGCUUAGGCUAAAUGCUAGGCUUUGUGGCAUUUCUGUGCUAAUCUCUGAAGGCUUUUGGAUACACCCCUGAGGCAGUGCACUUCUAGAACCCCUGCUUGGCCAAACAGAAGUUCGGCUUCCCUGGGGUUAAAUCCCAAGAAGAUUUCAGUGGUAGUUAAGUUGGAUGUAGGCAGGUGGAAGUGUACAGCACUGCAAAAUGUAACUCCAUUGCCUCUUGGUUUUACUAAUGCCUCAAAGGAGGGCUGGCUCAUUCUAAGUGCAGUGCAAUAUCUAAGUAGAAAAAGAGAUGUUUGGAAAAAUCAUUCAUUAUAUUUUUCAGAAUAAAGCAAUCACAUCUUCCUUAGCAGAGAAUGCAAAGAAAGCUGUAAAUAUCACAGCUGCUCACUGGCAACUAGGAAAAAAAAAGAGUCAAAUUCAAAGCUUGCCACUUCUAUUCACAGUGAAUGACUUAGGAGUCAAAAGAAGAACAGGGUGUGUACAGUCUGAAGAGAAUAUUGCUGGUAAAAUUCUAAGGAUGCCUCCUAAAACUGGCAAUUGCUCACCAUGUCAGCUGGAAUAAAGUUUGUCACAUUGUAUGUCCAGAUGCAAUAUGGUGAUAUAUGCAAUUUCAGUCACUCUUUCCAAAUUGUGGGCUUUAUCUGAAAUGCUCUCAUACCCCAAACUGUCUGCAUUUUCAUUAAAAGAAUGAAUGUUCCUGUCAUCAUCUUGGUAGGAACGCCAACAGGAAAUAAGCUACCUCUAAAUGAAAAGAUGCAUUUUAUUGUUUGCGAAGCUGGGGAAAUAUGAGUCAAACUUACAACUUGGCUGGCAGGUGGUUUGUUUGGAGUAUGGAAUUAGUGCCUUUGUAGGGGUCUGACAAAUAGCCUGGGGUCUCAGACAAUGCACUGGCAUCCUGGUGGCUGCAUGAUCUUACAGAGAGCAUUAACUUCCCUGUGCCUCAGUUUCUUCAUCAGUAAAACUGUGAUAAUCAUUUUCUGCUGGAGUUUCCAGCUAAUAGGCUUGUUAUGCCCUGCAAAGCACUCAGAGAUCUCCAUCUGGAACAAACUACAGAAGUGCAAGUAUUAUUGCUAUUAGAAGUCCAUUACAGCUCUGUUUUGCUUUGUUCGUACUGGCCCUUUGGUACGUGCAGCUAGACAGCUCCUAAUGUUAUCUUGAUGCACAAAGCACUUUUUGUGUGAGGUUUGACUCACACUAAAAUGCCAGUUAGAAUUUUGUCCUCGGGAACUCACUGGAGCUUGGCUUACAGAAUCUGAAAAUUAAAUCAACCAAAAUAGGUCAAACACAAAACUAUAUGUCCUUAUGUGUCCUCUUGUCCUCUUUAGCAGUAUAGCGCAUAGUUGUUGUUUUCUUAUCUGUAAAGUUUGGGCCUGUUUUGUUCCUCAGCCAGCUUUGCUACUGAUAUCUUGGUUACAUUUUGAAUACCUGCUCUUGAGAAUUUUCUGUUCCCAUUAAAUAUAGUUUAGAAGGACACGCUCAUCUGUUAGUGGUCCAGAAAUAACGUGCUGAAUGCACCAGCAGCUGAUGCGACUGAACGCGAUACAAAAGUGUAUCAUUCUGUUAGAGUUUGUUGGUAGGCAUCAUUAUGGAAAUGUUUUUGAGCCUUAAAAAAGGGAAUAGUGUAUCGGAAAUUGAAUCAAACGUUAACAGAAGCUGCAGUUUGUGGUUUACUUUUCCCUCGUAGCUAGUUCUUUAGGAAUUAUUCCUGUUCACAUAAUCCUUUAAGUUAAUGUAUUUAUUCCGUGCGUGCUUUAUAAUUUCUAUUCAUUCAUAUGUCAAGUAGCUGAAGGUGCUGCUUCAAUUAGUAUUUACUUCAGUGUUAUACUGUUUUGAAUUGGUUGUUUGUUACAGUCACAAUGCAGUGAAUAAACGUGUUAAUAUUUGAAGUGGGAAGGGAGGUAAAAUGGGAAACCGUCUGCUCCAGUCGCGGCCCAGCUUUCUGGUUACAACAUAUUAUAAUUUAUUUAAACCCAAUCAAUACUUAAUCUGGAGUUUAAAUUCCGCUAAAGAUCUGUGGCAUAGCUAAAAGCAGCUGAUGCCAAAGAAAAAAAAUUUCUUCAGGCUGUGAUUCUGAUGAAUUUAUAAUGCGCUCUAAGGGUGAUGCAUUGACCUAAAUUCACAGAAGCGCCGCAAUUCGUAUUUAUUAUUGUGAAAGGUGUCCUACCAACACUUUUCUUCUUCUGAAUGUUGAGAGCCUGUGUGAGAAAGAUGGGCGGCUGCAGAGGAAGGAGCUGCACGCACAGCCCGGGAGGGUGGGAUGGGACUGAGCGCGGCCCUGUGCCGCACACCGGGCGGUGAGUCACUGUGACCCCGAGAUUCAAGGCAGGAAUUAAUUCAGCACUGCAAAAAUCUGGCAAAUGUUUGAAGCCAGCAGUGAAAGCAGACUUCCUGAGAGGUGUGUGUUUGUGGUGACAAUUUGGAUUUAUUUUUCUGGCAAUGCAAAAGACAUUGUUACGGCAGGAAGAAGACAGUUGUGUUAAAAACUGCUUCUCUUUUUUAGUUCUCCCCCCCCCCCAGCCUUUCUGGGGAAAUAGAUUUUGAUCUCUGCGGCAUUUGGUUUUCUCUGUACAGCUCUUUAAACUCCCCCAGGCACAGCCAUCUCAGGGCAGGCCCCAUGGGCAGCUCCUACCAGCACUGCAGGGAUGUGCACACACCAUUCUCUUGUAAGGUCUGGGCAACCUCAUAUUUCCCAGCACAUUUUGGCAAGCUUUUACUCAGAGUGGUCCAACAGCUUUUCAUAGUAAGUGAAUGACUUCCCAGUGACCUGAGCCCUCUUCCAAGCCUCCUUUGUCACCCUGACAGCUUGCAGUCAUGCUUUUCUGAUCUUGUGCAAAGCUAUAUGUUUUACCAGAUCUGUAACUGCAGGAGACUUGGUUGUUCUGAAAAUUAACUGGAUGAAUAAGGGAAAUGUAUAGUGGAUAAAGGCUGACAAUCAUCCCCACUUCUUUUAUGAUACAAUGCCCUGUCCUCACGAGAAGGGAGAAGAGCUCAAUUCUCCCUCCUAAUUGAUAGGUGCAUACUUGUCAGAUGUGGUUUCCCCAGGCAGUCUGUAAGGCAGGACUCACCCCCCCCACACACCGUUCAUCCCCAGUCCCUCACCUGUGUGCUUCUGGGGCAUCACAUCAGACACUCUCCCAGCAUGUGUCUUCUUGCUCUAUUUUGUGCCCGCCUCUGCCCAUAUUGCUGCUGUAGUGGUUUAUGCCAGAAUAAAUAUGGGCUAGCAUAAAUCCUCAGGCUUGGAAGGCAUUAGCCUGCCUUUACUGUAGCACAAUCGACAGCUGUACCUGGCACCACGACCUCAUUGCACCCCAGCGUGGCAGCAUCCAGAGCCUUGAUGCAUUGGAGGAGCAGAGCCACAUGCUUGCUGAGGUUUGUUCCUCUGGGCUGGCCCUGAGGAUGAGAACAGCAUGCAAACACAGCUUCUCAGCAGGAGCAACUAUUAGUUUCAGCUUUAACCUUUACUUAAAAAUAUGAAGCUGCUGAGCAAAAAUGCAAAGGCUUAGUGUUCAAACUCACGCCUAACUCAGAGAGCUGGGUUCCUAGAACCAACUGUGAAUUUCAGUUUAGCAGCAAGGAAGUUUAUGUUCAACUUCAGUUUUUCUUCCAGCUAUAAUGCUCAAAGGGAGUACUUCAGUAUCUGUCUUGCUUUUUGUUAGGGAGAUGAAACAAAACAAAACACCAUUUGUCAUAAUUCUUUGGGAUUGCUAUUAUGGCCAGGAGAAAAGCGGGCUUCUGCUAGUUCAUGUACGAGUCAAAAGAAAGGCAUAUUCCUUUCCCCACAGGAUCCCAAGCGGAAGAGUUGGUGGAUGGGUAAGAUAAAAAUGGGUAUAGAUUGUGAGAGACAGGCUGACAAAAAAAAGUGCGUGCAGUUUUUUCACUAUUCUAGAGCAGUAAUUGUACUUUGCUUACAUACCUAAGCAUGUUUAGGUGGCAAUUUUCUUUCCUUGUAACAGAAGAGGUGACUUUCAAGAGAAUAAUCUGAAGGAGGUUGUGGUGGAUGACUGUUUUCCUUGUUGUUGGUUUUUUUUGUUUGUUUGUUUUGUUUUGUUUCUUUAAAUUCAGAAUGUUUUUUACCAGGUCAACAGGCCAAUUUCUCUCCAUUGUUCACAAAGCUAUUGGGUAUUUUUUUUUCCUUCCCACUGUGCCUUGAAAAAACAACUUCACUUAAGUUCAUGUGUGAAACCUUUUGCACAACAGAAGUGGUUUCUUGUGGCCAGUAAGACUAAAUGUUCUGAGCAUUCCAGGAAGCAUAUAAAUAGACUGAUACUCUUCCUAAGGUUAUAGAGCAUUAUUUCUCCCUUUUUUUCUUUAUUUCUCCUCCUGUCCUACUCCCCUACCUUCAGCUACGCUCUCUCCAUCUAGGCAAAGACCAAACAAAGUGCAGUGUUUGAAAAUCCUGACCAUCAUUUUCCAUUUUACUUGGGUUUUUCUCAGUUACAUGUUCUGAAUAGAAAUUGUUCGAGUAAAUGCAGCACAGUAAAUUAUCUUAAAUUACUUCUUAUAGUCCAGACUAGUAUUAUAACAUGAAAAUUGUUACUUGGAGUCUCCCACGCCCCUGGCUGCUGCAGACCUGUGUCUCCAGGCUGGGGAGAAAUGGAUCACAGUACUUAUCCAGCAGAGCCUGCAGGCCAAUCCACAAUGUGGAAAGUGGAGUUCACAUAAAGGAGGUCUCUUAUCCUUUCCUCUCAAUCCUGCUAGAUACAGCAAAGCUGUCACAAUGGUCAAAUAUAAUUAAAAUGGUGAUCUGCCACUGAAGGGUAGGCCAAUGUCUAUGCAGAAACCAGAUGAGGAAUUAUUCAAGCCAAAAACAUUAAAUCUCAGCUCAUCCGUGGUUACCAUAAAACAGCCAUCCUGUUCCUUUGAUCUAUGAUGAAUUUGAAUGUGUGUUAAUAAGACAUAUAUGCUGGGCAUCAACAUCAUCUUCUGUUGAACGAAGGUAAACACUGCAUUCGUCUCUGUAAAAUAUACUUCAGUAGUUGGGAAGAAAGUGGAGAUUCAUUAUUUUUGCAGUUGUAGAAGACAUUUAGCAGCUGUGUUUAUACUGGCAGACAAUUUGGAUAUUAGGUGGCAGGACAGAGAACUGCAGAUGCACGAUAUCGUGCAGACAUUGUGCACUUACAGCACAUUUCCAGGGAAACAUGUUAUUUUAUAUUUCCCUUGGUGUCAUUAAUCACGUUUCAUGAUGUAUCUCACUAUUUCAACUCAUUCCCCUAGAUUCAUUCAUUUUUUUGGCCUGUUUAUUUAAUAGUUAUUGAGCUCCAUUUCAACAAAUUCCAUCUUAACCACAGAUAAUAAAGUUCCUUUUGCUUCAGGGGAGAAAAUUAAGAUGGCCCUGUACUGAUUUCAGGGACUACCUGUAAUAGUCAGCAUGUCUGCUGCAUCAGAAAGAUACUUUGUUUGCCUUUGGUCAGAAAAAUGUUCAUGCUGUUCUUUGCAACUUAAAAAUUAAACUCAUUUCCUGAAAGUAAAAAUAUGAUUCUUAUCUUGAACUAUAAAGGAAAACAGCUGCACUUUAUUCUGUUCUCGAAGUUCUCUAAUCUCUCUGGAGGCUUUGUUUUGGUUUCACAGGUGAAUCCCUUAAACUGCAGCAGCAAUGAUGGCUCCUCCUUGGCAGAAACAUGCUGAGAAGCAGUUGGGAAUCCCCUGCUCUGGAGCUGCAGCCUGAGGAACCUCAGCGUGUAAGAAGCGUCUCUGAGGCACUCACAUGGUGAUGGUUAUACAUCUCCUGCUUACCCCAACUUAGUGAAAGCUGUCUUCAAGCAAAUAAGACUGGCAGCAAGGCUGGGAGUGCAAUCACCUGCUGGCAUAAUCCCUGGACUCUUCUUAAAGGAAUUCUAAAAAGGGAAACUCAGGAAUGCCUACCUGACUGUCCAGAGAACUGCCAUCCAGAGGAGCAUCCUACAGCAGCACAAGCAUUUCAUCUUCUGGAUUUGUGGAGACAUGUGGGAUUUGUUCAUGCUGAAGGCAGGAGGAAGUCAAGGGAGAAAAAAAGAAUUCUGGGAGGAAACUUGGUAAAACCGAAGAUCCAAAGUGAAACAUCAGGAAACAUCACCAAAAUGAAGCCCGUUGGAUGUUUGCAGCUGUUUCUUUAGUCCUGAUUAACAGGGAUUUUCUGAGAAGAGCUGCACAAGUGCAGUCCCCAUUCAACGUACAGAUUUUCCAGAGUGAUCUCCAAGUUGUAAUGGACAACCUCUUUCCUGCCAGCAGAGCCCAGAGAGGAAUAAACCAAGACCACCAGCUAAGUCAUUGUGUAAUGUGCUGUGGAUAUGAGCAUCGAAUGCCCUCAGUGGCAAUGACUCAGGACCAAAUCAUCCUUUUGCGGGAAUUACCUACGAAGGAAACUGGACGCUCCAUGGCAUCUGUGUCAUCCUUCCCUCCAGAUGGUGCCUCAAAAUCUGUUCUGAAAUGGCAUGUGCAAAGCAGACCCAGAGUGCCUAUCAUUCAGCCCUCUGAUGGCAACUCUCAGACAACUCGGGGACAGACAGAACACAAAACCAGAAAUAAGGACUUGCAACCGUGGCUGAAGAUGCCCAGAGAGUCGUGUAUGUAACAGCCAGCGAGAGGCAGAUGACAGCAACAAGAAAUUUCACAGCUCCAAAGAGUGAACGUACCACGGAUUAGUACCGGAGACAGAAAUACUUCUAUGAAAACCAUGAAGGAAGUUCCGGAAUCUAGAGUAACUCUCGGAUGCACAGAACUGGAGACUUAAAAGAUCCUCAGUUCCCCCAGGACCUGAGCAUGUAGAAACGUGGGGGCCUGGCUGUCCUUCUGGUCUGCACGCGUGGCCUCAAGCCCGAAUCCCUACAACAGCAUCUCCACUGACAGCAAAGUGCUUCUUCGCCCUUUACCACUGAACUGCUGUGGCUUGAUUGUGUGAAACUGAGUUUCAGGAUGCAAGAUACUGUUCAGAUAGUUCUGCAAUACAUUCUUCAGACCCAGCAACUUUGGCAGGCCCGUGGAUGAUGGAAUAACCAGAUCUCUGCGGCCACCCCUGAAAAACAGAUUCUUUCUUCUGGAUUCCCUGGGAUUCUCUCAGCAGCCAGCCUUGUUUACAGAAGUCAGCGCGGACAGUAACAGCCCUUCACCAAUGAGCCACAGUGGAACCUUUGGGGAAGGCUCCUCACGGUGCUCUGUCAUCUGCUGACAAAGUGGUGCCAGGACCAGAACUUCACAAUGAACUCUGCAGAGAAAAAUCCACAGCAGAUGAAGGAAUCUCGAAGUCAGUGACAGGUAGACUCAGGCUUAAAGUGAGAGGAUCCCCCACGUCACUGGUUUCAACUAGAGGAUACGUCUGUGCUAUGAGAAUACUCAGUAUGAGAAACGUGCUGCGAAACAGAGGCAGCCAGUUGGAGCAGUGCUUCAGACUAAGCUGAGGUCAGUUUUAGAAUCACAGAAUACUUCAGGCUGGACAGGAACUCUUGAUGUCACCUCAAUCCACGCCCUGCUCAAAGAAGGUCUCACUACGUCAGAUCGCUCAAGGCUGCAGCCAGUCAAGUUGAACCCUCAAAUGGGGAGCCUCUGCUGAAUGCUGGUUACUGCAAGCGGCCUUUUCAAGAGACAAAAGAAAGUUAAAAUUAGAGCCUAAAAACAAUGGAUUUGCAGCAGCCAGCACAAUGCCAGUCUGCACUGUUGUGAAAGACCUGUGCAUAAACAUUCAUAGGGAUGAAUUCAGAGGUGAUGGGCAACACAGACUGAGGAAAAGGAGCCCAGAGAGUAGGUAAUAAUAAAGAAAAUCAUGAAAAGAGGAAACAGAGGAGGAAAAGCAGCUAAGUGAAAGGUAUGUAACACCUAAUCUAAAGCACAUUUCUCUCUCCUUCAGCGCACACAAAACUUUUACCGGUUCCUUUUUAUGGUUAUUGAAUGCCCACAUUACCUGAAAGUGGAAUUUAUUGUGCUGAGUGUUAAACUCUAAGUUUUACAAAUAAGCUUCCGUACAAAAAUAUUUAUUAUCUGUAACGUACAUCAUCAGCUCUUACACUCCCACUGCGUUCAUCCAUUGUCUCCCAAUACAGUUACCGUGAACGUAUGUCAGAAUAUACGUCAGCCUCAGAAAUACACACUUGUACUGCAGUGACUAUUUUCUAUUCCUUAUUUCUUUGCCUCUAUUUUAAACAACGGAUGCGUACGUUUGCUUAGAACCUAGCUUCUGAAACAGAAGGACAGAAUUACUGGUUCUGACAGCUGUGAAAACAUUUCCAUAAUACAGAAAAUCUAAAUGCCUCUUCAUUCAAUCACUUUCUCAAUGAAAACAUCCCAGGAUUAAAGAAAUCCAGGGAAAGAGAAAAGAUUAACCUAGAAAAGGCAAAUAAGCAAGUGAAUAAAGCUGGGUUUAUUGCUUCCUGCUUCAACAGUGUCCAACAAGAUCUGGGCCAUGGUGCCACAGCUUUCACACGCGUGUGCAGUGGACACAGCUCCCCUGCAUGCAAACAAUGCACCAGCUUGCAUGAAGUGAAUUGGGGCCAGCACAAUUGUUUGAAGGAGGAGGGAUGCACAGUCCCUGGAAGCACAGAAGUGCCUUUUCUCUCUGGUUUCAUGCAGCUGACAUACCGAGCAGAGGAGCCAGAGAGAACAUGUAAUGGAAAUAAAUGACUUUGCAGACCCAACGGAAGGAGGUGGGAGCGAAAAAGCAUCCUCACCCCCUGCCCGGCGGCUGCGUAAAUCUGUCCCUGCCAGGAGAGCUCCGGGAGGUGCUCAGCGGCCGCCUCCCCAGGAGUCAGUGAGAGUUCAGGUGCUUACUGUGUCAUCAGGCUUGACCUUCACAUGCGACACUGCCAGGACGUUUGUUUUCCCACAGCAGUGAUUGCUUCAGUCAAUUAUUAUUGCCCAUCGUAGAGUGCAAACACAUAAGGGCUUGAUUUACAGUGCAAAAAUAUACAUCCUGAAUUUACUUCCUCUUUUGUUUUUGGACUGUCAUAGCAUCUCCACCUUAAAGAGAUGACAGCAAAUUACUUCAUAGGUAAAUAUAUGUAUGUAUAGGGAAGGAUAAAUAGCAGUCAUUCGGGUCAUUGUGAGAUGAACGUUCAGUAUAGCUUCAGAUCGGCUGUGUCAGACGUGACAAUAUAUUUUAAGCUUUUUGUUUUAAAAUUUUCAUUUUUUCUGCUUUUCUUUGAAGAAAUCAUCAUUCGCAAAUUUUGCAAGUUGGCAAUCUAACCUCUAAAUCCAUUCUAACGCAGAUUUAAGAUUGUGCAUUCAGUUCCUUAAGCAAUGUUUAGGUAUUACCAAUAUACUGAAAGAUAGAUGAGACAGCCUCAUGGUAAUACAGCUUUUAACCUUUCCUCUCCUCUACCAUGACGGGGGAGAAUUACAGUAAAUGAUGGUUACCUUGUCUGCAGUAUGGACAAUUGAUUUGACCUCACUGCAUCUGAUGCUCUAAUGGACUUUGUGGCUGAAUCCCUGGAGAUAUAAAAUAUGUCCAAGUGAAUUGGGGCAGGUUAAAGAACGGACCUGCUUUUCAUGGCUGGCUCAAGCUAUAAUAGAUCUCCCGGUUGUUCUGAGAAGAAGAUUAAAAAUGAUCAAUAUCCAAAUCAUUAAAAAAAAAAGCGGUGGCUUCUGUAAAUCUACCAUAGGUGGGUUUUUUUCCUGCUAAACGCCGGAGGAGGGUGUCUGGGUUGAUAACGUGAGUUUCCAUAACAAAUGUUUACUUCUGUUUACUCUCUAGUAACAUGUUCCUUUUUAUAUUAAGACUCAGACACACAGAUGGCGUGAUUCAGCACUGCUUUCCUGAAGUCAUGCUUGUUUACACCAUGAAGAGUCAGGCCUUAGGUUUAUUUAAUAUAGAUAAAAUAACAAUACUAUAAUAUUUCCUGAAGCAGAAAAUAAAAUCAAGGACAGAUUUCAGAGAAUGAUGGUAACUGUUAUAACUGUGAAUGUCCUCACAGUUCUGCUAGCCACAGUGUCUAAGACAAAAAUAAAGGUUUAAUUUAGUGAGGAAAAUAGAAAAAAAAGAUUUUCCUUGGCUGCUCUGAGUCCUUCAUUUGGCAAAGUGCAAUUGAACAUCUUGUUUAUCCUUUCCCACCCUCUCACGAACAUCUCUGCUCUUUUCUCACCAGCACACAACUGAGCUCAAGGUGAGUGUAAGUCUGUCCAGCCCCUGGAGGUGCCAGGAGAAAAGCUUUCACAGCCCACAGCUGGGAGCUCACCCACAGACCUUCCUCUCUACAUACAGCAGCAAUGGGGCAGGCAACUUCAGUGGGCUUAUACGUAUGCACAUGCUUAGCUUCCUGUAAAACCCAUGCAUUAAGGAGACAGAUGCACAGCUGUUCCAUUUGAGGCAUGCAUGUAUUGGUUUGUGCACUUAUUCAGUAAACUUGAAAUGCAGAGGAGCCCAAAUCUCUGUUCUGAACAGUUUGAGGUUGUUUGGAUCUGACAUCUCUGUGCGUUCACUGACAGAAAUAAGCUAAUUAUGAACCUGUGUUGGAAGAGGGAUGCCCUUUUUCUGAGUUUUGAGAAGUGUCUGGGCAGAGUAAUUGGACUGCCCUAUCUCAACUGCGUUACAGCAAUCGAGCAAAUGCGAAAAAUCUUCCUUAGAAAGGAAGAAAUAUGUGUUUUUAAGUGCUAGGACAAUUCCACGUAACAUCACGGUUUGCAUCUAUACCCACAGUACGCAGAGAUUCAUGCAGAUGUCCAACAAAUUGAAAAGGCUUCAAAUAUAUUUUAUCUAGUUGUAUGUCUAACAGUAUUUACCUUUUGCCUUUCACAGGUUGCUUUAAAAUCUGACUAUGUAAUAACAUCCUCUGAAUGAUUUAAUUUAAGCUAACGUGCUAUCCCUUUAUGUAAAAAGUAAAGGUAUUUUGAAAGCCCUUGCUGAAUACUCUGAGGUUGCCUCUACUGUGUGGCUAGCACUGGGCUGAAUGCCUAGCAUCCGUGCGUAGAAGAGGGAACAACUGCUGCCCCUCCGAUCUGGCUAUUCUUGUAUCUGGAAACAUUGUCAGGUGCUACAAGCAUCACGCCAUCUGAAAGGCCAAAGUUGAGUACUACGUUAUUGGAGUAGAUGACACCUUAUUCUUAUUCUUCAACAAUUCUAACAACUUAGAGUCCCUCACUGUCCCUUUAUGAACACAGAUGUCAUUCUGAGGGGGGGGACAGCCAAAAUGACAAGAAGGUGACCUGUCGGUGAACUCAGGAGCAGGUGAGGCCUGUCAGCUUCUAAUUUGAAACUGGUGUCAGUCCUGAGGAAUGGCUGGUAUAAUCACAUUUGUAACUGAUAUCCUAUAAACGCUGCAAACAUUCACAGUGCGCCUGUUAUGAGUAAUAUGAAAUUAACAAUUCGUGUUUAUGACACAAGACACCGACCGAAUCAAGCAGGUCUCCGUAACUGGAUCAGCUCCGUCUGUCUGCCAGAGCAGCGCAUCGAACUGCUUCAACCAAAGCCAAAUUACUGUGUGCUUAUGUUACAAUAGGCAUUGUAUUUAUUUUGAAGACAAACUUUUGUAACUAGGCGUAAAGUGAGGACCUCAGAACCAGCUUCUCGCUCAAGUUAUUGCAUAUAAAACUUCUCUUGCUCGAGCCCAGCCAUUAAGAUGUUCGUGACUUUUAAGAGUUUGGGACCUAACAAAUCACGUGUUGUAUCUCACAUUUUCUGAAUAACUGAAGGGAAGGCUCUGUGUAAAUCUUCUCUCUCAGACACAUAAAUUACCAGCUGCGUGAAUACUGCCAUUAAGACAAGCAGACAAGUGCGAGGGGUGGGGACAGGGCAGGAUGCCCCAAAGAGGUGGAGUUACAGAGAAAACAAGGCAUUUGCUUACUGAGUAAUUUAUGCUUCAUCUGCCUUCACUGUAGCUCAGUAAGAAUGAACACCAUGAGGCAGUCUGUCAGGCGCUCUCACUUCACUACCGCCAAGGCAUUUUUCUGCAAAUUAGGUAUUUGCUUCCUAUUUCUAGUCACUUCCACCUGGAUUUUUUAUUAGGAAAAGUCAAAAUCAUAGUAUCUGAAGCUAAGAUUUGAAUUGAAGUUACACUAAAAGAUAAACUGUUGCUCAAGUAUAUUUCACAUUUGAAGACAGCAAAAUCUCACAAUCCUUUGCACAAUUAUUUCCAGUCCAAACUGACAGAAGCUCUAAAGUUCGGGUCCUUUCCUGCCUGCACUGCUGCUGAGCCUGGUGCAUAGAUUAGAAGUUCCUUUCCAAUAACAAGCAAAAUAAAAGAAGAACCAUACGAAGAAUCUAUUGCAAUUGUUACACUGGAAUUUAGUUAGCAGAGCUACAAAAACGCAAGUCCAAAUCCCAAGUAGCUAGUGGAGAUUUCUGAACAGUUCUGUACACCUUCACGUAGACAAUCCAGUGGAGCUAACAACCUACUGUAGCACUCUUUUGUGAUAGGCAAAUACCAUUCAUUUCCAUUUUCCACAGAAGAACUGCACUCCACAGAGCUUCAGCAAUGUAAACAAGGCCAGGUACAGCAUUACAGCUGUGGUUCAGGCAACAACAUUCCUUGUCCUCUGACACAACACUUACACAUCAUACUUGUAACACUACCUAGUUCAAGUUGGUGGUCAAUACCACCUAAUUAGCAGAGUAAAAGUGCAAUUUUGAAACCAACUUACAAAACUGCUACAACCAACCUACAAAACUCCAUCAUACCAAAGAAAAAUUAUGGCUCUAAAUUUCACAAUCACUCUCUGCCAACCAAAAACUCACCUUUAAGAAGAGUCAGGGCUGAAAGCUGAAAGUUGAGGCAGUCAUCUCUCAACGUGUAGAACUCCUCACGUUGCUACGAAGGUACAGCACGGUUGUUCAGUGUUUGGAUAAAGUACUGCAUGGGAACUGUUGAAUCACAGCCUGAACCACCAAUUGAUCACCUGAGGCAAGGACUGAAUCAGCUGUGGGAGCACAGGUGAAAGCAAUUCAGCUAUGUGACCAGAAGCUGUGUGACCACAUUCCACCCCUCCCAGACCCCAUUUAAGGGCUGACUAACACUGGGGAAGAAUCUCCUUGUGGUGAUCCCUCCUUUGUGGAGCUUUUCAGUGUGAGCCUAAAUCUUUGCAUACAGGUGAGCAGUUCUUCUCUGUUUGUUCCUUUGCUAUCUCACUGCAGUACUCUUUCCAACUGUGCUUUGUAGACUAUACAACUACUUUGGUGGCUACUCAGAACUGAUAACAUAUGUUUUAAUUUUCCUCCUACUUGCACAGGUAUAAUUAUAUUAAUUCCCCACAUAGUUUAUGAGAAGAGCCUGCCCUGUGGAACAAGACCCAGCACAGCAGCAGGUUCCUGCAGCACCAGGUCAGCUCCAGAGGCUGAUAUCAGCAGCACCACCUCACAUAGCUCCUAGAGCUGGUAGGGUGCAGUGCCUCAGCUGGAUUGCUGCUGUAGCUUACCUGCAGGAGCCUUCUGCAUCACUGGUCAUAUAAAAUGCUCCUCUGCCAACAGAUGGAUUGCUUAUCGUUUUGAUUACUGGCUGUAAAUGUUCGUUAUUUUUUCAUUUCCUAGCUAAGCAAGCUUAUGUGUGUAUACAUUUUCUACAGUUUUCAUUAGAGUAACACUAAGACCUGGCAUAAGGCCAGGAGAGAGAAACUUAGAAUUAUUGAUUAAAAAAUACUCUUAGUUUCUUCCAGACCUUCAUUGUGACCCUCAUACUCCUGACGUUAAGGAGCAGCUGGCACCCCUCAGCUCAGCCCAUUACCUGUAGGGCUCCCCUGAGCAUUCUGCACCCACCUGGCAGUGCUGUAGAAAGGAGGCUGUAGUGGGUGAUGCUGAGCUUCUGCUCCCAGUGCUGGGCCCAUGUGAGGCUGCUAGAAAACCAAAAGAAAACAUGGAGGGGGGGGGGGGGGAAAGCCCACAAAAAAAAACCACCAUGAUCUGUUCUCAAAGGUGGAAAGUGGAAGAAUAAGACAAAAGCCUCUGUGGUCAGAGUAGACAUCUCUUAAGAUCUUGAGAAAAUUCCCCAUACAUAGAAAGAAGCAGCAGAGCACAUCUGUUUUCAUGACAUAGUUUGGUAAUAUCUUGAGCACUGCACUUCCUCUUGACCUCACAGCACCGCUUUCUGUUCAUACAAUUAAUACGGGGAAGCCACCAUUCCCACCAACUUUCAUUUUGAAGAUAAACAAAAUCACUCCUUUCAGGGUAAUCUUGAAGAAAUGAACUGCAGCAAAUCUACAACCAGGCAUACCCAGUGAAGAGAUGUUGGAGGGAAAAUGGGGAUAUAAAUGUAUGGCCCAAUUCUAAUUUUAUUCAUUUCUAGUACAUUGGGGUAGGCAGAAUUGGAGUAGGAAAAAAAGGAAGUUUGACUUCUGGGGUUGUCUUUCUAUAUCAUGCUGAAUGGAGAGCAACACAGCACAUAAGCUCACUGGGUGGGAGAUGGGACUUGAACAUGAGGUAUUUCUCUAAGCAGCUUGAAUCAAGGGCUUAAGCACGAGCAGCCUGUAUCUCAUCCAGCUCCUGUAACUGCUAUCUUGUGGGGAUUUUAUCCCAGACUUCAUGAAUAUUUAGCGAGGCUUCCAAAAUAAAUUGGCACUCUCAGUAUACACUGAGACCAUGAACCAAUGAUUGGGAAACUAGUCUGGUUCAAAUCCUUGCUCUGCUCCGUUCCCUCGCAGGUGUAGUGACAAGUUCAUAAAUAACAGCUCUUUGCUGACUGUAGGGCUCCCAUACACGAGUGCCCUAAUCAGUGAAGAAUUUUUUUUCCCCUCUAUACAGCAGUUCCAUCUGCUUCAGAAAGUUUCCCCUCAAAACCAAUGCAUUUACAAAGUAAGUGCUAGUUUUGGUGACUCAGUGCUUUCUUUAAAAAGAAUACCACAGUAUUUCAGUCAAAAACCAUAAUCAACAUGAACUGAAAUGACACAGGUUUCUAAGCCCUUGGCUGCAUGGCAGCCUGCGUGCAGCCCCGGGGCAAGUUCCAGCACUGCAGCAGCGACCAAUGAAAAAUCCUUGAAGCAGAAAGGCAGCAUUAAAGCCAUCCAUUAAGCAGUGUUUACGUUUACUGUGAGGUGAAUUACAAAAACUCCCUGGCAGUUUUUGAAAUCUGAGGGCCUAGGAAAGCCAUCUGGGAAUGGUACCUCAGACACAUACUGUUAUCGUAGUAGCAAAAUUGAUGGCUGCAUCUUACCUGCUGGAGCUCUUCUUCUUCUGCUUCCCCAGGAAUCAGCACAGCAAAGGCAGUGGGAUGCCCACAGCCUUUCCUGUUUCUUCUCAUUGGUGUAGGCCUGCAGAAGGACAAUAUAGAUUUAGUCAAAGGAGACAGCAUGGAAGCAGACCUGGAUGCAUGUGACAGAACUGGAGGCAUCCCAGCGUAAUUAAUGAGCAGUGGAGCAAGUUGUUAUUUAUGUUGCCUGUUUCUAAUGAAUGGGAAUUAGUCAUGUCUUUGAUUCUUAGGUGGCUAUUUAUGCUGCUUAUCUGAUAUCUGAAAGGAAACUGUUCUGAAUAUUUUCUAGUCCAAGGAGGACUGGGUGGCUAAAACAAGACCUAACUUGUGCUUUUGGCAAAACAUUAGGAAACUAGUUUCCAAUUUUGGAAGUGUCUGCAUGUAGUUUUCCAUAGGUUUUUUUUCUUUCUUUGAGUUUUCCUGACUUCAGUCAGGAGGUGAAAUGCCAGAAAUACCCAGAGACAACAUAUCCAACAAGACCGCUCCCCCACAGGCACUGCAGCCCACCGGGUGUUUUUCCAAACCACCCCUGAACUCUGAACCUCCAAAUCAUUCACAGAUCUCUUCCACUGGGAGAUGAAACCACAUCGCUGCACGACUGCAGGAAGGAGCAUGGUGGGGAGCCGUGAGGAAAGCUGUGCUUUCCAUUGCCUUCCUGAGCUGGGAUGAGUGGUGGCCGCGCUCGCUGCAUCAGCCUCUGCUCGGGCUGGGCGCUGUGAGGGAUAAGCACGAGCUGGGCAGCAUUAGUCCUGUGGUCACCCAGAGCGUGAGCACUGCCCUGUUUCUGCUCCAGCUGAAGCCUGAAUGGAGCUUAGCUGGGAGAGGCCUCCAUUUCCCAUUACACAAUGGUAUUUUCUGUUAGACACUAAAGCCCUCUGUCCCUGAUGAUAAGCUGGUUUUUAUUAUAAAAUAUAACAGUUGUAUUUUACACAGCUCUUCUGUACAAUGCAAUUUACGGAGCUAUUCUGCUGGCUCUGUCAUUGACAGGGUGCCCUUUACAGCAGGACUUGUAGCACACCAAAAUUUUCAUGAUCCUAAGCUAGCGGGAAAAGAAAUAUUUCCAUGGGUGAAAAUUCCGGUUAGGUAACUAUUAUUGAAGUGUGUACGAGAUUGCAUGUCAAAACAUUUUUAUUGUUGGCUGGUUGGAAUCACAUUGACUGACAGCAGCAGUUUAACAACUGAAGCACAGCGCAGUUUGUUAUUGUACCUGUUUCUCCAUGGAACAGCUCUGUAUUUUAGCAGCUGCUAUCAUUUCUAAGUUACGAAGCCUGCCUUUAGAAAUGUGUGUUCCCUCUCUCCCACUUACAGUACCCUUACUGAGCUGGCACAAGACAAGCGAGUAAUAAAAGGAAUGUAAAGUGUUUUAAUUUUGUCUUGUUAUAUGGCAUUACAUUGCCAUGGCCUCUUGAUAACAUAACAAAUGUAUACAGGAAAUACAGCUCAAGUGAGCAUGGAAACAGUGGGAGGAGAAGGGGUGUUAGGUUUGGUUGCUUGGUGGGGGCUGUUUGUGCUGGCUUUUCUUGGGGGAGCGGGGGGUGGAGGGUGGUUAAGACAGAACCCAAUUGUGUUCCUCUAAUUACAGAGUUAAUGGAGACGCUCCAAACAGAGGAUUAAGUGGAAAGCAGAGUUUUGCAGCAACCUGAGAUAUUAAAAGGAAAACCAACUGACAGAGCAGAAAAAAAGACAGCCAACUUACGGCAACGCGGCAGUAUUUUCCACCAAAAAGUCGCCGUUAAAUCCCCCACAAUUACUCACAGCUAUCGGGGUGCGCAGUGGCCGUGACACCCGUCUGAGCUGCACAUCACAGACACUGUAACUGCUGGGCUCACCUGAAUGUGUUCCCACGUGCCGUGCACUGCUGGCGCUCUCACGGCUCCACACAAUGCCUGCAUUUCACCCGACGUCGCGCUUCAACACCGUGGCAUGGCUGCAUUAGCUGCUGCUGGAGGACAAAUAAGGAAAGGAAACGGGAAAGGAGGCGGAGUCCAUCCCUGGCUUCCUCAUACUUUCAUUUGAAUGGGAUUUGGAUUCUGCCUGUCAUUGUGAAGUAGACUGGAAAAGAGUACUGUCAACACAGAUGAAGACUCAGUGUGAAUAAAAUUAAAAUAAUUAAGUUCUGUUCAACAUCAGUUUGGCCCUGCUUGAGUUGCCAGGACUCCGUACACAAUUUGGGAUGGGGGUUGGGUUUUUUUUUCGUUGACUGUGGUUUCCUUGGUUGGAAUGCUAUGUCUAAGACCACCAUCCAGGAGAAUGAAGGUCUUCCACCCAAGGGCAACAUCUGUUAUCUACACAUUUGGAUAUUGUGUCCAAAACAGGAGAUAUCAGCUUUGGAGGAACGCGAUUUCAGAGUAUGAAGCAGUUCCAAAGACCACUUGGACUUGAUCUCCAAAUGCCUGAGAUAGAUACAAGCCUUGAAAGUGACCCUCGACACCCUGGGAUCUUCUGUGUAAAAGGCUGAAGCACCCAGGGGGUGUAUCCUUGACUGUGCUGCUGAGUCAAUUAAUUACAGUGCUCGAAAUAAAAUGAAGCUUUGGUUAAGAGUGCAAUAUGAAUUUGGGUGUAACCAAGCUAUGGUGAGGUCCCCUCCAAAGGAGCAAGAUUAAAUAUGGCUGUAUGAGCCAGCACUAAUCUACUGAGAAGUGGGCAUGCUGGACCAUAGGCAGCCAGCAGUUCGCAGCACAUUGGGGUGCUCCCAUGGCCUGCAGAGAAGAGGGCUACAUGAGACAAGUGUCCCCCUCCAGAGCUUCAAAUGGACCUGAAGCUCCAUGCUUCUCCCCGUGGGAACAAGCUCAAUUUUGUGCUUUGGUCUAAAGAGAGAUCAAGAAGCACUACCAGAACCAGAGCCAGAAAGGAAUGGGUAAUGGGCAAGAUAAGUGAAACAUCAACAUUGCAACAUGGCACCGAUUCAGGAUGCACCAUUGGAUAUUGGACUCAUCAGGCCUUUAGGACACAAGCCAGUCAGUGAACAUCAAGUAUAUUUUUUGAUGAACUAUUUGCAAAUUAGAUGUAUUACAAAUGUUUGCUCAUUUAAUUAGAAUAUAAAAGAUGAUUUCUUUGACUGGACCUUGCUUCUGACCCUUCUUGCCUCUGUGUGGUUUGUAUGGUUCUUGGCUAAUGAGAUAUAGGAUAUGUACUAAACAUUUACACAUUAAAGGCAUCCUUCAUUCAGCAUGAAGGUGUUGAUACAUCAAGGAUACCUCAAACAUGCUGAGAUUCCAGCAACUUGUCAGACAAAUUAGCACCUUACCAAUCGGGGGUAAAAUUGAGUUUCACAUUUCUCCCUGGUGGGAAGAAAAAAAUCAAAAAUCACUGUAGUUUAAUACUUUCUUUGUAAAGAUGAACACAAAAGGCCUUAUCACCUCUGUAGUGUAAAUUAUAGCCCUCACUGACUAUCUAAUUUUUAAUUCAUUGGUUUUAAAUGAUCCUAGGCAGUUUACAGCAAAUCUAUUGUGUCAUUCCUCUCUUAGACUUAAUAGAAGAAAAAUGUCUGCCCUAUCUCUUUUACAAAUAUUUAAACUUUACAUCUGCAUGCAUAUAUAUAUAUAUAUAUAUAUAUAUAUCUCAAAAUGGACGGAAAUCAAAGUCUUAAAUUUGUAUGUUCCAUUAACAUUAACCACCAGCAGCUUUUAACUCAAACUCUAAGGGGUAUGUGGAAUUGAAGGACUGUACAGCAAUGAAACUAUGAUGGUUUAAUUUUUUUCAGCUGACUGGUGCUGAAAAUUAAUGCAUAAAGAUUAGGGUUAGGAUUAGUGCAUGAAGAUGCAGAUUGCUGGCACCCUGCGUGAGACAUUCAGAGCACCAGAAAGACCCACUGCCUGGUAAUGCAGUCUAAUAAAGUAUCCCCAUAGAUUGAGAGUAAAGGUAAAGUCAGCUAUAGGUGCUACAGACACUACAGCAGGACCCAGUGACCAUCCGGUGCCCUUAAAUCACCAAGCAUUACACAGCAUGGACUGAGGAAACCGAGUUGACUACCUACUCAAGAUUUGUGAAGAGAAGGUUACUACCAUAAACCUCAAAGAUGGGAAUUAUUUAUGCAUCCAAUAGCUUUCUGCAAUUUAUGUAGCUGAAACAUUUACCUCACCGUGAACGCAUCACAAAAACACCCAUUUUCCAAAACUGUGAGGUCAGCAAAUGAAAUCAACCUGUAACUUGUGCAGGAGGAGGCCUGAGCUUUCUGCAGAGAUCGGGUGUGUACCCACAAGUCAUUCCUUCCUUUCCCCUUGCCAACUUCCUCAUUCUCACAAGUCUCAAAUUCAGAUUUUUUUUUUUUAAAUAUAGGAAAGAAAUAAGCAGAGGAUCUUCCCAGUUGCAGCUGCUUGAGACUCUUUCAAUAAUUUAGUAAUUAUCAUCAUGCUAAUGGAUUUUGCCAUCAGCCUCUCUCCUUUUAUCAAUAAACCCUAGUAUCUAAACAGAACACACAUCCCUCCCUGUUCCACAGGCAGGGUGACUGUGACCCCACAUCCUCACUUCCCCUCAAAUGUCCUGUAUGCAAUCACCUUUGUUCAGACAUUUCAAGAACAUGCACUUCAGCAUAUUAAAUCUAUGACAGAAAAACAGAAACUGUGUUACCAGAAGCAGCUCCUUAAUUCUAGGGAUGCUAAUUCCCUUCUGCAGAUGUAUUUUUCAGAAUUCUCGAUACAACAAAGUGAGAAGGGAUGUUGUUCGUGCCCAGCAGCCACAACAGGGUAGACAAGGGACACAGCUGCUGAAGCAGACAAGGAAUUGAGCGAUGACUGCCUGGGCAUUACACUGUAAACCAGAUUCUUAUACCAAGAACUUCAUUUAGAAAUCUGGAGAAAACUUAAGAUUAAUUUUGUUCAUACUACAUAUUUGCAUGGAACUUUGGAGCAAGGCUCCUGCUCAGCAACAUACACUACGUAUAUUAAAACCCUUGCACACUUUUUCGCCUUAAGGUUAAAAAUAUCUGAAAGAGAAAGACAUCACAUUUUUAACUGCUUAAGAGAGAAAGAAAUAUUGGCUCCCAUAUAUAGAGUGACAUGAUUUAUAAAUAUGUGGUUAAAAAGAACUGAUUUACAGACAGGGUCGUGAAUCUGUAGCUAAGUGUUUUAGCAUUUAACUAAAACAAUAACAGCCAGCACUAAUUGCAUGUGGUCUGUUGCACAGCUACCGGAAUCAAAUAGUAAAGAGGAUCACAGUUCCUUAUUAGUUAGGACCACCUAGGGUGAUGGAAAGCCUCAAUGAUCAAAGAGAAGACAUUUUUAUGCUGCAAAUGUUGAUAUACUCUUGAGCUUUCCACCACAGUUUAAGAUCCGGUAUGAACACUUGACAACACACUAACAUAACAUACUGAACAGGACAACACACGUGAUAUUAGACUACACAAGUUUUGCUUGCUGGAAAAAGAAGUGAAUAAGAUUCAGUAUUAUUUUCGUUUUCCCUACUGUAUCGCAGAAUAGUUCUCUAUUAUUACCAGGGUGAUUUAUUUUCACCUACUUGAAUCAAAACUAAACUAGCUUUUGUUCCUAACACCGUAUCAUGAGAUCCCAUCACUGCUAUCCAGUGAUCACUGGAUAGAUGAUGUAAAACAACAGCCUUCAUUUAUCUGUAGAAAUGCAAAGCAAUCCAGUGUGAUUACUUACCGUUUGUAACUUGGCCAUCCAGGAGCAUGGAGUUGUUUCUGUCUUGGCUGAAUAGCUGAAAUGUUUGGAAGAGAAUAAUUUAAUGUAUGUGCGGUAUUCCAAGUGACUAUAAUUACUAAGAGAUAUUUUCAUUUUUAAAUUUAUAACUGCACUUUCUUUGUUUAUUGUUGUUGUUCAGUCUCCUGCCUUCAAUAGAUCACGACUUCUGAUGCUGUAAUUCAUUGCAGACUACUCUGUGUUAUAGAGAAAAACCUUAUGGUUCAAGUGAAAGAGGUUGAAAAGAAAUCAGCGUUAAAAAACAUGAACAUGAAUUUUAAAUUCUAUUUUUACAAAAUAUCAUCUAUCAUUAAAAGCUAUCAUUAAAUCAUAGCAGGAACCUAAGAGAGCUUUCAUUUAAUGUAACAAAGAGACGUAAGGAGACAGACAGAUAGCACAGUGCUUCCAAUAAGAGCAAAUUUUACUGAACAAAGAGUAUAGCAGCUGACCUUGUGGCUGUAAUGGAGGUGUGGGAAGAAGGAAGAUUGCUUAACUGGCAGAAGAAACACUGAUUUCAUCCUUGUGUAAUUAUCCCACACACACUGAGAAUGGUUGCAUACCUUCUGCUCUGCUUUGAUGCAAUUAUUAGCGUGUGCUUAUGGUCCAUAUAUAUAUAUAUGCACUUCAGACACUGAGCUACGCUCCAUUCAAAGCAGUUUAGCAUUCAGCUCUGAAAGCUCUUCAGAACUCUUGACUUGAACACCUCUAAAGCCUUCAAAAUCAACUCUGCACCAACCCCAUGUUUAACGUUCAGAUCUCAUUAGUUUUGGCUAGGAAUGCUCUCUAAUUACUAAGAGAGUUUUCUCAAGUUGCACUUUAGAAAUUCAUCUUUUUUUGUACACUGUAAAGUAUUCAUAAAAAGCUAAAAACUGUGGGAAAAUUAGCAUUGAUGGAUGUUUUCUUACCCUCCACCAGGAAAUGAUGUACUUGAAACUCAUUACAGAUCUUCAUAGAAACUCUGCUGAAUGUGCCUUGGGCUUUGUGCUGAUCAGCACACACUGAGCUUACUGCAUAAUUCAUCUCUCUUGUGUCACAUUUAAUGUAUAACAUGCAUUUCCUGUUAAUUAUGAAAAUAAAGAUGCGUUCUUUCUUUUAGAAACAUAAUCAUUAAAUUACUACAGAA